AAACGAUUGAAGUCAGUCGUGGUCUGGGGGCUCAGCCGGUUCUGCCGGUCUACUCCCCCUGACCGGGUCAACAUCAGUUUUGACCGAUGGAUAAUGGUGAGAGGAAUGUAUCACCUCCGGGUGUGUUAUAGCCUCCUAUCGCAUACAUCGGUCGAGACUGAGGAAUGCAGCUCGCCUUUAUGGCCGGGGUUCGCCCACGUUCGAGCUUAGGAUGUUGACAUAAUGGCUUUAAACGA
rnacentral:rRNA from 1 species